rnacentral:rRNA from 1 species
UACAGAGGUCUCAAGCGUUGUUCGGAUUCAUUGGGCGUAAAGGGUGCGUAGGCGGCGCGGUAAGUCGGGUGUGAAAUCUCGGAGCUUAACUCCGAAACUGCAUUCGAUACUGCCGUGCUUGAGGACUGGAGAUGGAGACUGGAAUUUACGGUGUAGCGGUGAAAUGCGUAGAUAUCAGGAGGAACACCGAUGGCGAAGGCAGCUUCCUGGCCCAAUUCUGACGCUGAGGUGCGAAAGCGUGGGUAGCGAACAGG